rnacentral:rRNA from 1 species
UACGUAGGUGGCAAGCGUUGUCCGGAUUUACUGGGCGUAAAGGGCGUGCAGGCGGUUUGUUAAGUGCAGGGUGAAAGCUCCCGGCUCAACUGGGAGAGGUCCUUGCAUACUGGCAAACUCGAGGGAGGCAGAGGAAAGUGGAAUUCCCGGUGUAGUGGUGAUAUGCGUAGAUAUCGGGAGGAACACCUGUGGCGAAGGCGG